AUUGAACGCUGGCGGCAGGCCUAACACAUGCAAGUCGAGCGGCAGCACAGAGCUUGCUUCCGCAUACAGCGGCCGACGGGCGAGCAAUGCCUAGGAACCUCCCUAUUUGUGUGGGCUAACGUCCGGAAACGGGGGCUAUUACCCUAAUCGCCCAUACGACGUACGUGUGGAAGCUUCGGACCUCCCGCUCUUGGACGAGCCUAGGGCGGAUUAGCUGGUUGGUGGGGUAAAGGCCUACCAAGGCGACGAUCCGUCACUGGUCUGAGAGGAUGAUCAGGCACACUGGAACUGAGACACGGUCCAGACUCCUACGGGAGGCAGCAGUGGGGAAUAUUGGACAAUGGGCGAAAGCCUGAUCCAGCCAUGCCGCGUGGGUGAAGAAGGUCUUCGGGUUGUAAAGCCCUUUUGGUGGGGAAGAAGGGCAGCAGGUUAAUACCUUGCUGUUUUGACGGUACCAACAGAAUAAGCACCGGCUAACUUCGUG
rnacentral:rRNA from 1 species